CAGACCAUCUACUUCCGGACCAUGGGUGCCGGUGGGAAACGGAAGCCGCAGAAAGCGGAUCGGCGGAUAAGCGGGGCACAUUGAAUGUGAGACUCUCUUGAACUAUAAAGUGGAUCUCAACAAGGCGAGCAGCGAACGAGCAACCGUCAGCAAUCAAUGAGAGUUUCUGUUGUUCCACCUCUUCCUCGCCAUUUGGUAUUGUCCGUGUUGUGGAUAUUAGCCAUUCUAAUAGAUUGGAUAGUCUCCACUGAUGUCUUCAAAUUUCCUGAAUCUGGGGGCGCCUGGGUGGCGCAGUCGGUUAAGCGUCCGACUUCAGCCAGGUCACGAUCUCGCGGUC